rnacentral:misc_RNA from 1 species
AAAGUCGUAACAAGGUCUCCGUUGGUGAACCAGCGGAGGGAUCAUUACAGAGUUGCAAAACUCCCUAAACCAUUGUGAACGUUACCUUCAAACCGUUGCUUCGGCGGGCGGCCCGGGUCCGCCCGGUGCCCCCUGGCCCCCUAGCGGGGCGCCCGCCGGAGGAAAACCCAACUCUUGAUUAUUAUGGCCUCUCUGAGUCUUCUGUACUGAAUAAGUCAAAACUUUCAACAACGGAUCUCUUGGUUCUG